rnacentral:ncRNA from 1 species
CAAAAGCCUAGUCCUGAACUUUAUUAUCAAUUAUAACCCGAAUUACACAUGCAAGUACCCGCACCCCCGUGAAAAUGCCCUUUGACCUCUAACCCCAGGGGGAAAGGAGCUGGCAUCAGGCACACAAGUGUAGCCCAAAACGCCUUGCUUAGCCACGCCCCCAAGGGAACUCAGCAGUGAUAAACAUUAAGCCAUGGGCGAAAGCCCGACUUAGUCAAGGAUAAUCAGAGCCGGUAAAACUCGUGCCAGCCACCGCGGUUAUACGAGGGGCUCAGAUUGAUACUACUCGGCGUAAAGCGUGAUUAAAGAAUAACAACAACUAAAGCCAAACACCCCCUAAGCUGUCAUACGCUAACGGAGGCAGGAGGCCCCACAACGAAAGUAGCUUUAACAACUCUUGAUCUCACGACCAUUAAGAAACAAACCGGGAUUAGAUACCCCGUUAUGCUUAGUUGUAAACAAUGAUGGCAACAUACAAAUACCAUCCGCCAGGGGACUACGAGCACUAGCUUAAAACCCAAAGGACUUGGCGGUGCCUCAAACCCACCUAGAGGAGCCUGUUCUAUAACCGAUGAUCCCCGUUAAACCUCACCACUCCUUGUUAAUCCAGCCUAUAUACCGCCGUCGCCAGCUUACCUCAUGAGAGACCAACAGUAAGCUAAAUGAGUAAUACCCAACACGUCAGGUCGAGGUGUAGCAAAUGAAGUGGGAAGAAAUGGGCUACAUUUUCUGACCCAGAAUAUAACGAAAAGUGCCAUGAAAAAGCACAGCUGAAGGUGGAUUUAGCAGUAAAGAGAAAACAGAGAGUUCUUUUGAAGCCGGCUCUGAGGCGCGUACACACCGCCCGUCAUUCUCCUCGAGACAAACCAGAACAAUUUAUAAUUACCUGAACAAUAAAAGAGGAGGCAAGUCGUAACAUGGUAAGUGUACCGGAAGGUGCCCUUGGAAAAAC